rnacentral:rRNA from 1 species
AACGAACGCUGGCGGCAUGCCUAACACAUGCAAGUCGAACGAGACCUUCGGGUCUAGUGGCGCACGGGUGCGUAACGCGUGGGAACCUGCCCUUAGGUUCGGAAUAACUCCCCGAAAGGGGUGCUAAUACCGGAUAAUGUCUUCGGACCAAAGAUUUAUCGCCUUUGGAUGGGCCCGCGUUGGAUUAGCUAGUUGGUAGGGUAAAAGCCUACCAAGGCGACGAUCCAUAGCUGGUCUGAGAGGAUGAUCAGCCACACUGGGACUGAGACACGGCCCAGACCCUGCGGGGGGGCGCGGGUGGGGAAUAUGGAACAGGGGGGAAAGCCUGAACCAACCAUGGCCGGGGAGGGAUGAAGGCCUUGGGGUUAGAAAAUUUUUUUUCCCGGGAUUGAAAAGAACGGACCGGGAAAAAAAGGCCCGGCCAACCCCGGUC